rnacentral:rRNA from 1 species
GCUCAGAUUGAACGCUAGCGGGAUGCUUUACACAUGCAAGUCGAACGGCAGCGCGAAGAGAGCUUGCUCUUUUUGGCGGCGAGUGGCGAACGGGUGAGUAAUAUAUCGGAACGUGCCCAGUAGCGGGGGAUAACUACGGGAAAGCGUGGCUAAUACCGCAUACGCCCUACGGGGGAAAGGGGGGGAUCGCAAGACCUCUCANUAUUGGAGCGGCCGAUAUCAGAUUAGCUUGUUGGUGAGGUAAAGGCUCACCAAGGCCGCGAUCUGUAGCUGGUUUGAGAGGACGACCAGCCACACUGGGACUGAGACACGGCCCAGACUCCUACGGGAGGCAGCAGUGGGGAAUUUUGGACAAUGGGGGAAACCCUGAUCCAGCCAUCCCGCGUGUGGCGAUGAAGGCCUUCGGGUUGUAAAGCACUUUUGGCAGGGAAGAAAAGGC